GCUGCAGUCGUCUAAUGGGUAAGACUCUGCGUGAUGCAUGCGGUUAUCUAGGUUCGAAUCCUGGUUGCAGCA